GGCCGAAAUAGUCGAAUUAUUCUGACGAUACGAUGUUGACGAGGAUGAAGUUUUCGUGCUUGAUUUAUGAAAUUGUUGUUUAUAUUAAUAUUUGCGUAGGUAUUUCAAUAAAUUAAAACAAAACAAAAUAAAACAAAAAAACUUUCACGCAAUUUAAUCGUCGGUAUUUUCGUGUCGUGUAAAUAAAGUGAAGGUGAAAAUCAAAUAAAUUGUGAAUUUUAUUUUCAAGAAAAAGAAAAAAUAUAAAAUUUUCCUCUUUAAGAGAUUUAAAUUAUAAAAUAUGAAAGAAAAUUAAAUUUUAGUGUUUAUUUGUGGAUGUCUAAGUUCAUAAUUAAAAUUGCCAACAACUACAACAACUGAUGGUACCAGAAAAUAAUAAUAAUUAUUAUUGUCUGUAAUUGCGGUUGCUUGUCAAUGAAAAUUUCAAAUAAGGAAAACUAAUAGUUUCCCAAUUAAAAGCUGCAUCAUCACAUCGAUCUGAAUUUAUUACAGUUUUUCAAUUUCAAUAGCAGAGUAUAAUAAAAUAUUGAAACUUAAUUACAAAUGGAUAUCAGUAAUUAAUACCUCUUGUCUUUUCUUACUGUCUGGAUGAUGUGGCGCUUCCUAAAGCACAAAUAAUAAUAAUUAGUAAUAAUUGUGCGUUUGAUUAAAGGUGAAUUUAAUUAAUGUUUGAUUUAUGAAAAUUCGUCAUUCAUGUGUGUCGGGAAUAAUAAUUGCAUUUAAAUAAAAAUUCGUGUGUGCGAUUAAAGAAUAAAAAAAUGCGUAUACGCAACAGUGUCCCACUUAUAUGGAAGUUUAUUUAAAAUAAAAUUAGGGGCAUGUUCGAGAAUUUAAGCCAAGACCAUAACAUGAUCAAAAUGAAUGACUCCGAAGAUAGCGAAAAUUUCGUGCGAGGCACACAUCAUCUCAACAACAAUACCGCCACAAAUCAAACCAUCACCCACCUGGAUCCAAUUUUAUUCGAACAAUUCACGAGAAAUCGAAGCAUCGAAGGUCCUUGGUACUAUGUCCUAAUUGUUAUGUACAGUGUGCUUAUUGUGUUCGGUGCUGUGGGCAAUACCCUGGUUGUAAUUGCUGUGGUUCGAAAACCAAUGAUGCGAACUGCUCGAAAUCUAUUUAUCCUUAAUUUGGCAAUAUCAGAUCUUCUUCUAUGUUUGGUAACGAUGCCAUUGACCCUUAUGGAAAUUCUAUCAAAAUUUUGGCCAUUCGGAACGUGUGCGGUUCUUUGUAAGAUGAUUGCUAUGCUCCAAGCAACAAGUAUAUUCGUUUCAACAAUAUCGAUUUCAGCGAUUGCCUUUGAUCGAUAUCAGGUUAUUGUCUAUCCUACACGCAACAGUCUACAAUUCCUGGGAGCAAUUUCCACUCUCAUGGGCAUAUGGUUUCUCGCACUUAUACUGGCCUCUCCGAUGUUCAUAUUCAAACGUCUGGUCCACGCUGAUAUUCCCAGUCUUCUGCAAACCGUAGGCAUCAAGGGCAUCUCCUUUUGCAUAGAAGACUGGCCCCACAACCAUGGCCGAUUCUACUACUCAAUAUUCUCGCUCUGCGUUCAAUACCUAUUGCCCAUAGUCAUAGUGUCCGGAGCCUAUUUCGGAAUUUACAAUAAGCUCAAAAGUCGCAUAACAGUUGUAGCUGUUCAGACAUCACAACGAAAAGUAGAACGUGGACGUCGCAUGAAACGCACCAACUGUCUACUUAUUAGCAUAGCUGUCAUCUUUGGAGUUUCAUGGUUGCCGCUGAAUUUUUUCAACCUCUAUGCCGAUAUGAAACGUUCCGCAGUGACACAAUCGAUACUGGUGGGAUAUGCAUUUUGUCAUAUGAUCGGUAUGAGUUCGGCGUGCUCGAAUCCGCUGCUCUAUGGAUGGCUGAAUGAUAAUUUCCGUAAAGAAUUUCAAGAAUUAUUAUGCCGUUAUAAAGAACCUACUAAUCAUGCUCUUAAUGGUACGACAGGGCAUUCACGUCGGAGGCAAAAACAUGUCAACAUUACCAAGGGGGAUCUGAAAUUGCUCGAAGGACAGCGCAUAACUGAUUCGGUUGCGUUAACUGAAAAUCCAAUGUCGACAGAAGUGACGACAUUGAUGCGGUAAAACAUCAUCACAAAACCAGAAAAAAAAUACUUAAAAUUAUUUAGAUACCUAAUUUAUAAACCUCUACCUAUAAAUAUCAUAUUUAUAUAAAAUCCGACAAAACAAGAUACACCGACAACAAUAAAAUCCUGACACAUUCCCUCCCUCAAGCCUCAAAUUUCAUCAAUAAAAUGUGUCAAAAGUUACUGACUAAAGCUUCUUAAUUAUUUUAGGUUGUGGCCAAGGUAGUGGGAUGUUUGAACGCCCAGGAGUUUUAUUAAUACUCAUGUCAGAUAAACCGACAUUUAUAGUUUAAACAAAAGUAUUUAAGACUACUAAAGAAAAACGGAGGGAAAGGGGGAUUUAUAUCAAUAUUUAAUUUAUUAUAUACAAUGGAUUUGUUUAUAAAGGUUAAUCUCCAGAGCCUGAAAGAAGACAUGUGAUGCAGAUGUGAAAUUAUAUAAUAAUUAAUUAAUUAAAAAUAAAAUAAAUAUCUCUUAAGUUUAAAUAGCUACUUAAUAAUAAUUUAAAUGUUGUUAUAGUAUUUAAAAAGAAAAAUGUAGAUUUUAUUAAGAUUAUACAAACGAUUUUUUCUAAGACCAAAACUAGAAGUUUUUUUAUUUCCAAAUCAACAGAAUACAAGAAAAUAAUAAUGAUACUAAAUAAAUAAACUAAUAUUGAAAAUAAA